rnacentral:misc_RNA from 1 species
GAUGAAGAACGUAGCGAAAUGCGAUACUUGGUGUGAAUUGCAGAAUCCCGCGAAUCAUCGAGUUUUUGAACGCAAGUUGCGCCCGAAGCCAUUCGGCCGAGGGCACGUCUGCCUGGGUGUCGCAUCGUUGCCCCCCCAAACUCCGGUUCGGGCGGGGCGGAAGUUGGCCUCCCGUGCGUGCCUGCGCGCGCGGUUAGCCCAAAAGCGAGUCCUCGGCGAUGAGCGCCACGACAAUCGGUGGUUUUUUUACCCUCGUUCCUCGUCGUGCGUGCCCCGUCGCCCGAACGCGCUCUUGCAACCCUUACGCGUCGCCUCGGUGGCGCUCCCAACGCGACCCCAGGUCAGGCGGGACUACCCGCUGAGUUUAAGCAUAUCAAUAAGCGGAGGA